GUGAAAUGUCAGAAGUGGCCAAAAACAAGGAGCUUAAAGGGGAAUCCUUGGGCGAUCAGAACCAUACCGAAAGCCGUCAUGGAAGUAUUACUUGGACCCUCGGUCAACAUAUCAGACCGAACGGACUGCAAUGGGAUCAGAAAUGGAUGGAGCAAGAGAAAGCGACAUCGAAUAAAUUCAGACGGCUCCAAAACCAAUUUUGGAGUAGGAACUGAAAUAUACUGCACUAGCCCAAGGACGGAAAUAUCUACAGUAUUGUGCAUAAAUAUAGCAACAAGCGAUGUUUUCAAAAAUAUUAUUUGCUCCUUUAUUUAUUCCAUAUUAUUUCUUUACUUUUAAGUACACGUCUCUGUAUUAUUUAUAAAUAUAUCGAGAUAUCAUAAGAAUGCCAA